rnacentral:rRNA from 1 species
UUAGAGCAGAUAUCACCUUAUCCGGGAUCCUCAUAUGGAUAACUGCGGAAAUACUGGAGCUAAUACAUGCAACUAUACCCCAACGCAAGGCGGGGUGCAAUUAUUAGAACAGACCAAACGUUUUCGGACGUUGUUUGUUGACUCUGAAUAAAGCAGUUUACUGUCAGUUUCGACUGACUCUAUCCGGAAAGGGUGUCUGCCCUUUCAACUAGAUGGUAGUUUAUUGGACUACCAUGGUUGUUACGGGUAACGGAGAAUAAGGGUUCGACUCCGGAGAGGGAGCCUUAGAAACGGCUACCACGUCCAAGGAAGGCAGCAGGCGCGAAACUUAUCCACUGUUGAGUAUGAGAUAGUGACUAAAAAUAUAAAGACUCAUCCUUUUGGAUGAGUUAUUUCAAUGAGUUGAAUACAAAUGAUUCUUCGAGUAGCAAGGAGAGGGCAAGUCUGGUGCCAGCAGCCGCGGUAAUUCCAGCUCUCCUAGUGUAUCUCGUUAUUGCUGCGGUUAAAAAGCUCGUAGUUGGAUCUAGGUUACGUGCCGCAGUUCGCAAUUUGCGUCAACUGUGGUCGUGACUUCUAAUUUGCUGGUUUGAGGUUGGGUUC